UCGGGGCGUGGCGCAGCUUGGUAGCGCACUACUUUGGGGUAGUAGGGGUCGUGGGUUCAAAUCCCGCCGCUCCGAU
rnacentral:tRNA from 4 species